ACAAAUGCUAAGCGUCUGCGGCAGACAGUGCCAGGCUCGGUCGUGCUGCGCGAUAUUCAAAGGUGUCAAUGAUACGCGUGCCGUUGACAUACUUUUGCUUGCUCGAUACAUUUCGUCGAAAAUUUACCAGUUUUAUCGUAUACUGCUUGAUCGAUCAGUUAGUUCUUGUUUGCCUAUACGCAACAACUUCAACGACGACUUCUACGAAUAUUGAAGAAGCUGCUCGUUAAACGCAACGCUCUGAGCAAUAUGGACGACUCCUUGAUUACUAGAAUUUCCAACAUGAGAAUUUUCCGUCAAAUCAAACAUGAGAACACCACGAACAUGGGAAUGCCCUCCGAUAGAGCGAGUAAAAUGGAUUCUUCCAUGGAACAUGAACGCAUUCUAAUUUCAAGUCGUCCAAUCGGUUCCAACGUACAAGAAAUUCGAUCGGCAAUGCAAAACAUCCUGAAAGCAAAGCCAAAGAACGAUCUUCGCUGAAGCAAAAGAAGAAUUUUGUUUGAAUCUGAGGCAGCAUAUCAAUUUUCGUUCUGCCAGUGAUCUUCGACUCUGUGAUCAAAACGAUCGCCCCAUCUUCCACGAAGAUAUUUUACCAGGCGAUGCUAUGGUCGAGUUAGAGGAUUUUGGAACGUGACCCGAUUUCUGACCCUCUAGUCUCGGGAUGUAAUCAUCGUUUGAUGCUCGAGGGACGAGAACGAAGGAAGACAACAAAGAAGGGGAAGGAUUAUGGACAGAAUGGACGAAGAACCGUGGUCGAGAAUGAGAUUUAGUUGGAGCCCGGGAAUGCAAGGCAACAAUCACGGACGAUUGAAUCGGCCGCACGAGAGAUAUCGAUUGGCAGGACCAGCCGAUACCAUCUUGUUUCGAACAGCGCCGACGAAAAAGGAAGCACAGGCAGUUUGUAAUUCGUUGUAAUUGGUUCUUUCGCUUCGGUUGACUCCAGUUCUUUGCGAGUCUUCGGAUUUAAGAGCCCCGCUUGCGACUUCAGCGAUUGCGACGACGAUGCUAUUGUCCUCGAGUUUUAAUCCCCGAUCCGUUAGAUUCCAAGGAAUUUCGAAUAAUUGGAUGAGAUUAACUUUAUAGAGAAAUCGAUUAGCGAUCGUUUAACAAAAUCUUAAAACUGACAAGCGUGUCUGAAAGAUACGAAAGAAGUUCCAAACGAGUAUUUGUAAUUCAUUGGUGUAAAAUCGAACUUUUUUGUUGCAUAGUUGAACCGUUUUUUUCUUUUUUUUAAAUAAAUUUUAUAUCGUAAAUACGAUCGUAAAACUUAAUCGUAAUGAUCUAUGGCACGUAGUAUGAUUAUAGUUCUCUGGUUACAAGCAAUAUUUUGUAGCAAUACUUUGAAGUGUACUGACCGACCACAACGAUGUUUCACUCCAAACGACUGCUUUUGAUAAUUUUGUUUGACUAAAUCACGUUGUUGAAUUCCGCUAUUACGUUAGUAGAAAAUACAGGUAGAAUAAUGAACGCCAUUGAUUGGUCGAUCAAAUAGAAUUCUAGAAUUAAAUAAAUUACAUUGAAUUCGGUACCGAGAGACAUCUAAAGGUACGGAGGGAAAUAAAAUGAGCAAGAACCGCUAACUAAUUUUACCAAAGCAACUAAUAUGUAUCACAAUCCGUGUAUCCGGCUCGUGUGUACAAUAAUUGUACGUGUUCUCGAUUCACACGUGUUCGUAUUUACAAAGCUGUAAUACAAAACCAGGAUGCACUAUCUUUAGUAACAGCCAAGUCUUGUACACUACGUAUAAUCCACCAGUAAUAUACUUUGUAAUGUCAUAUCGUAGUACCUUUAUAGUGCCAUAUCAUAGCUUUACACACCGGAAGACAUAUCUAUACACGCAUUCUCUCAAAUUUACUGCUUUACAUUUGCAUACGUCAGACACAGAUCCGCCUCUCUCACAUUUUACAAAGAAUUUUGGCACCAUUCUCUGUUACCUUAUGCUCGACCGUUUAAAAUGCUUAUCCUCUACAGGAAGACCACGCAGAGAAAACGUAAUAGCUCUAUUUUUGUUGUCUUUUCAACUUGUAUGCCAUUUAGCUAAGUUUUCGUACGAUGAAAUAAUAUUCGAUUUUUAAUUUAACAGUUCGAAUCUUAUUCGCACCUUCUCCCCUUAAAA